GACGAACGCUGGCGGCGUGCUUAACACAUGCAAGUCGAACGGAAAGGCCCUGCUUUUGUGGGGUGCUCGAGUGGCGAACGGGGGAGUAACACGUGAGUAACCUGCCCUUGACUUUGGGAUAACUUCAGGAAACUGGGGCUAAUACCGGAUAGGAGCUCCUGCUGCAUGGUGGGGGUUGGAAAGUUUCGGCGGUUGGGUAUGGACUCGCGGUUUCUCAGCUUGUUGGUGGGGUAGUGGCUUACCAAGGUUUUGACGGGAAGCCGGCCUGAGAGGGUGACCGGCCACAGUGGCACUCGGGAGGGACCCGUAGUCCAUCGGGAGCAAUGGGCGGAAACUUGUCCAAACUGGGCGGAGUCCUGGUUGAGCAUCUCCGGGUCGGAAAUGACGGCUUUCGGGGUGUAACCGCUUUCGCCGGUGACGAAGCGUGAGUGACGGUAAUGGGUAAAGAAGCACCGGCUAACUACGUG
rnacentral:rRNA from 1 species